rnacentral:rRNA from 1 species
UUCCUACGGGUGGCAGCAGUGGGGAAUAUUGGACAAUGGGCGCAAGCCUGAUCCAGCCAUGCCGCGUGAGUGACGAAGGUCUUCGGAUUGUAAAGCUCUUUUGGCGGGGACGAUAAUGACGGUACCCGCAGAAUAAGCCCCGGCUAACUUCGUGCCAGCAGCCGCGGUAAUACGAAGGGGGCUAGCGUUGUUCGGAAUCACUGGGCGUAAAGCGCACGUAGGCGGACUUAUAAGUCAGGGGUGAAAUCCCGGGGCUCAACCUCGGAACUGCCUUUGAUACUGUGAGUCUCGAGACCGGAAGAGGUGAGUGGAAUUCCUAGUGUAGAGGUGAAAUUCGUAGAUAUUAGGAAGAACACCAGUGGCGAAGGCGGCUCACUGGUCCGGUUCUGACGCUGAGGUGCGAAAGCGUGGGGAGCAAACAGGAUUAGAUACCCUUGUAGUC